GACGAAGGGGGCUAGCGUUGUUCGGAAUUACUGGGCGUAAAGCGCGUGUAGGCGGUUGUCCAAGUUGGAUGUGAAAGCCUUGAGCUCAACUCAAGAAAUGCAUUCAGGACUGGGCGACUAGAGGACCGGAGAGGAUAGUGGAAUUCCCAGUGUAGUGGUGAAAUACGUAGAUAUUCGGAAGAACACCAGUGGCGAAGGCGGCUCACUGGUCCGGUACUGACGCUGAGGUGCGAAAGCGUGGGGAGCAAACAGG
rnacentral:rRNA from 1 species